UCGAGAAUCUUCGGCAAUGGGCGAAAGCCUGACCGAGCAAUGCCGCGUGCGGGAUGAAGGCCUUCGGGUUGUAAACCGCUGUCAGAGGGGAUGAAACUUCGGUUGACAGAGCCUCAGAGGAAGCACGGGCUAAGUACGUGCCAGCAGCCGCGGUAACACGUACUGUGCGAACGUUAUUCGGAAUCACUGGGCUUAAAGGGUGCGUAGGCGGCUUUCCAAGUCAGGUGUGAAAUCCCACGGCUCAACCGUGGAACUGCGCUUGAAACUGGUUGGCUUGAGUGAGACAGGGGUGUCUGGAACUUCUCGUGGAGCGGUGAAAUGUGUUGAUAUGAGAAGGAACACCGGUGGCGAAAGCGAGACACUGGGUCUUAACUGACGCUGAGGCACGAAAGCCAGGGGAGCGAACGGGAUUAGAUACCCCGGUAGUCC
rnacentral:rRNA from 1 species